AUUGAACGCUGGCGGCAGGCCUAACACAUGCAAGUCGAGCGCGAAAAUUCCUUCGGGGAUGAGUAGAGCGGCGGACGGGUGAGUAACGCGUAGGAAUCUGCCCGGUAGUGGGGGACAACAGUCGGAAACGACUGCUAAUACCGCAUACGCCCUAAGGGGGAAAGCAGGGGAUCUUCGGACCUUGCGCUAUCGGAUGAGCCUGCGUCGGAUUAGCUUGUUGGUGGGGUAAUGGCCCACCAAGGCGACGAUCCGUAGCUGGUCUGAGAGGAUGAUCAGCCACACUGGGACUGAGACACGGCCCAGACUCCUACGGGAGGCAGCAGUGGGGAAUAUUGGACAAUGGGGGAAACCCUGAUCCAGCCAUGCCGCGUGUGUGAAGAAGGCCUUCGGGUUGUAAAGCACUUUCAGUAGGGAGGAAAAGUUGAUGGCUAAUACCCGUCAGCCCUGACGUUACCUACAGAAGAAGCACCGGCAAACUCCGUGCCAGCAGCCGCGGUAAUACGGAGGGUGCGAGCGUUAAUCGGAAUUACUGGGCGUAAAGCGCGCGUAGGCGGUUUGAUAAGCUGGAUGUGAAAGCCCUGGGCUCAACCUGGGAACUGCAUCCAGAACUGUCUGACUAGAGUACAGUAGAGGUGAGUGGAAUUUCCUGUGUAGCGGUGAAAUGCGUAGAUAUAGGAAGGAACAUCAGUGGCGAAGGCGGCUCACUGGACUGAUACUGA
rnacentral:rRNA from 1 species